GACAUGGCUCAGGAUGAACGCUAGCGGCAGGCUUAACACAUGCAAGUCGAGGGGCAGCGCGGGAUAGCAAUAUCCUGGCGGCGACCGGCGGAAGGGUGCGUAACGCGUGAGCGACAUGCCCGUUGCCCGGGGACAACCGGUGGAAACGCCGACUAAUCCCCGAUGGGAUAUUGUGCCGCAUGGCACGAUAUUGAAAGUUACGGCGGCGACGGAUUGGCUCGCGUCCGAUUAGCUUGUUGGCGGGG
rnacentral:rRNA from 1 species